CCACUCAUAUCAAGGUCCGAGAUUUGAGGGAGACUCACAAGGCUGAUUUAACAAAUCUCAAAGAACAAGUGACGCUUCUGUACCAAGAGGCUGUAAGAUCAGAGGACAGGUCUUUGUCAAUGGAAGCUUCGUUCCUGUCUAAAAUCGAGCAGAUCCAAGAGGAGCUGGACAAUGUACAGCUUGUAUCUGCUCAGAAGCUGCUGCUGGAGCAGAAAGAUGUGGAGAUUGACUAUGAAGAGGAGGACGACCAGUUACACCUAAAUGUGAACUGGCCACAAUACGUCGAGGCACAAAAUG